AAACUCUGGCUUUAGGCCUCUAUAUAAACAAAUAAAGAGAGCUCUCUCAUUCUCACAAGUCAUUUAACAACUGUAGCUCUCGAAGUAGAACUCAAAAAACUUCUAGACCAUUCUUUUCCCGCGAAUAUUCAAGUCUCAUCGAUCGAUCAUGAUCUCCGUAGUAAUCAUUGUUGAGCUACUGGUGGAGUACACAAUGUCUCUCGCUAAACUCACCGCUGGGAUUCUUCCAAGGAGGCAAGGCGACGAAAAUUAUUUAAAAAGUGAUGUAAGUGCUGAGCUGUUAGUAAAUAAAACACAUGUGUUGUCGUUAAGUUGAUUAGAGGAUCAGCUAACGCUAAUGGGACAAGCGCGUCUUCGUUUUUAUGUUCCGACUGUCUGACGAGAAAUACAAUAUAUUAAAAUAUGAAACACGAGUCCGAGUAACGACGACCAACGUGGAGAAACUCUGGCUUUAGGCCUCUAUAUAAACAAAUAAAGAGAGCUCUCUCAUUCUCACAAGUCAUUUAACAACUGUAGCUCUCGAAGUAGAACUCAAAAAACUUCUAGACCAUUCUUUUCCCGCGAAUAUUCAAGUCUCAUCGAUCGAUCAUGAUCUCCGUAGUAAUCAUUGUUGAGCUACUGGUGGAGUACACAAUGUCUCUCGCUAAACUCACCGCUGGGAUUCUUCCAAGGAGGCAAGGCGACGGAAACUUCGUAAGGAUUGGCAAUUUCUCUGUGUAUUGUC
rnacentral:lncRNA from 1 species